rnacentral:tRNA from 1 species
GGGGAUAUAGCUCAGCUGGCUAGAGCGGCGGCUUUGCAAGCCGUAGGUCGUCGGUUCGAUCCCGACCAGCUCCACCA